rnacentral:rRNA from 1 species
GACGAACGCUGGCGGCGUGCUUAACACAUGCAAGUCGAACGGAAAGGCCCCUUUGGGGGUACUCGAGUGGCGAACGGGUGAGUAACACGUGAGUAACCUGCCCUUGACUUCGGGAUAACUUCAGGAAACUGGGGCUAAUACCGGAUAGGCAUCCUUGCUGCAUGGUGGGGGUUGGAAAGCUUCGGCGGUUUUGGAUGGACUCGCGGCUUAUCAGCUUGUUGGUGGGGUAGUGGCUUACCAAGGCUUUGACGGGUAGCCGGCCUGAGAGGGCGACCGGCCACAUUGGGACUGAGAUACGGCCCAGACUCCUACGGGAGGCAGCAGUGGGGAAUAUUGCACAAUGGGCGGAAGCCUGAUGCAGCAACGCCGCGUGCGGGAUGACGGCCUUCGGGUUGUAAACCGCUUUCAGCAGGGGCGAAGCUUGUGGUGACGGUACCUGCAGAAGAAGCACCGGCUAACUACGUG